ensembl:lncRNA
CCCACAGCUAUUCUUAGCCCUGACCUUUGCUAUGGGCCAAACCCGGCCCCACAACUUCCAAUAGGGGACCCGAAAAGGGGUCUGUCUGGGACCUAUAGGUUUCCCUUUUUUGGGGGGGGUCCCCUAUAGGGGAUACGUGGAUUUGGAUCAAGUAGGGCCCCUUGUAGGAAUCGAGGGGCCCUAUAGGGGUCCUGUUAGGGAUUGAAGGCCUCUAUGGGGCCUCUAUGGGGUUCCUAUAGGAGAAUUAAGGUCACUGGAGGGUCCCUAUAGGGUCCCUAUAGCGGAAUGGAGCCCGGAGGGGGCACCUAUAGGGUUCCUAUGAGGGAAUUGAGGCCACUGAGGAUCCCUAUAGGAUUCCUGUUUAGGAUUGAGAGCUCCUAUGGGGUUUCUAUGGAGUCCCUAUAGGAGAACAACGGCGGCUGGGUGUCCCCAUGGGGUUUCUAUAGGGCUUCUCGGGGUCUGAUGGCCCCUAUGGGGUCCCUAUAGGGGAUUGAAGGCCACUGGGGGUCCUUAUGGGGGUCCUAUAGAGUCCCUAUAGGAGAAUGGGGGUCAAUAAGGGCCCCUGUGGGGUUUCUAUAGGGCUUCUUGGGGUCUGAUGGCCCCUAUGGGGUCCCUAUAGGGGACUGAAGGCCACUGGGGGUCCUUAUGGGGGUCCUAUAGAGUUCCUAUAGGAGAAGGGGGGUCAAUAAGGGCCCCUAUGGGGUUUCUAUAGGGUCACUAUAAGGGAAUAAAGGCCACUUCGGGUCCUUAUGGGGUUUCUAUAGGGCCCCUAUAGGGGAAUGAAGGCCACUGGGGGUCUCUAUGGGGUUCCUAUGAGAGAAUGGGGGUCAGUGAGGGCCCCUAUGGGGUUUCUAUAGGGCCCCUAUAGGGGAAUGAAGGCCCCUAGGAGUCCUUAUGGGGUUCCUAUGGGAGAAUGGGGGUCAGUGAGGGCCCCUAUGGGGUUUCUAUAGGGUCACUAUAAUGGAAUAAAGGCCACUGGGGGUCCCCAUGGGGUUCCCAUAGGAGAAUGGGGGUCAGUGAGGGCCCCUAUGAGGUUUCUAUAGGGUCACUAUAAGGGAAUGAAGGCCACUGGGGGUCCCCAUGGAGUUCCUAUAGGAGAAUGGGGGUCAGUGAGGGCCCCUAUGGGGUUUCUAUAGGGUCACUAUAAGGGAAUAAAGGCCACUGGGGGUCCCUAUGGGGUUCCCAUAGGAGAAUGGGGGUCAGUGAGGGCCCCUAUGGGGUUUCUAUAGGGCCCCUAUAAGGGAAUAAAGGCCACUGGGGGCCCUUAUGGGGUUCCUAUGGGAGAAUGGGGGUCUGUGAAGGCCCCUAUGGGGUUUCUAUAGGGCCCCUAUAGGGGAAUGAAGGCCCCUAGGAGUCCUUAUGGGGUUCCUAUGGGAGAAUGGGGGUCAGUGAGGGCCCCUAUGGGGUUUCUAUAGGGUCACUAUAAGGGAAUAAAGGCCACUUUGGGAGUCCUUAUGGGGUUCCUAUGGGAGAAUGGGGGUCUGUGAAGGCCCCUAUGGGGUUUCUAUAGGGCCCCUAUAGGGGAAUAAAGGCCACUGGGGGUCUCUAUGGGGUUCCCAGAGGGGAAUGGGUGUCAGUGAGGGCCCCUAUGGGGUUUCUAUAGGGUCACUAUAAGGGAAUAAAGGCCACUGGGGGUCCUUAUAGGGUUCCCAUAGGGGAAUGGGGGUGAGUGAGCACCCCUGUGAGGAUCCUAUAGGGUCCUCAUAAGCGAAAAGAACCCGGUGGGGAUUCCUAUAGGGUCCCUGUUAAUGGCUGAGGGCCUUUAUGGGGUUCCUAUGAGGUCCCUCACCCGUCCAUAGGCGCCGCCGCCGCCCCUAUAGUGCUCCCAGCGAGGGACCCCCCCAAACCCGCCCCCCCAUUAGUUCCUUCCGCCUUUUGCCCCGCCCCUUCCGGCGCCGAGCCAAUCAGCGCGCCCCGGCGGGAGGAGUGGGCGGGGACACGAAGCUAUAAAGGGAAGGGAGCG